GACGUACGCUGGCGGCGUGCUUAACACAUGCAAGUCGAACGGAAAGGCCCUGCUUUUGUGGGGUGCUCGAGUGGCGAACGGGUGAGUAACACGUGAGUAACCUGCCCUUGACUUUGGGAUAACUUCAGGAAACUGGGGCUAAUACCGGAUAGGAGCUCCUGCUGCAUGGUGGGGGUUGGAAAGAUUCGGCUGUUGGGGCUGGACUCGAGGCUUAUCAGCUUGUUGGUGGGGUAGUGGCUUACCAAGGCUUUGACGGGUAGCCGGCAUGAGAGGGUGACCGGGCACAAUGGGGCUGAGGUACGGAGCAGAAUGCUACCGGAGGCAGCGGUGGAGAAUAUUACGCAGCGGGGGGGAGUGAGAUGCAGCAACGCUGCGUUCGUGAUGACGGCCUUCGGGUUGUGAACCGCUUUGGCCUGUGACGAAGCGGGAGUGACGGUAAUGGGUAAAGAAGCACCGGCUAACUACGUG
rnacentral:rRNA from 1 species